CGGGUGGUAAUGCCGGAUGCUCCAGUUGAUCGCAUGGUCUUCUGGGAAAGCCUUUGCGGCAUGGGAUGGGGUCGCGUCCUAUCAGCUUGAUGGCGGGGUAACGGCCCACCAUGGCUUCGACGGGUAGCCGGCCUGAGAGGGCGACCGGCCACAUUGGGACUGAGAUACGGCCCAGACUCCUACGGGAGGCAGCAGUGGGGAAUAUUGCACAAUGGGCGCAAGCCUGAUGCAGCGACGCCGCGUGAGGGAUGGAGGCCUUCGGGUUGUAAACCUCUUUUGUUAGGGAGCAAGGCAUUUUGUGUUGAGUGUACCUUUCGAAUAAGCACCGGCUAACUACGUGCCAGCAGCCGCGGUAAUACGUAGGGUGCAAGCGUUAUCCGGAAUUAUUGGGCGUAAAGGGCUCGUAGGCGGUUCGUCGCGUCCGGUGUGAAAGUCCAUCGCUUAACGGUGGAUCCGCGCCGGGUACGGGCGGGCUUGAGUGCGGUAGGGGAGACUGGAAUUCCCGGUGUAACGGUGGAAUGUGUAGAUAUC
rnacentral:rRNA from 1 species